rnacentral:rRNA from 1 species
GAUGAACGCUGGCGGCGUGCCUAAUACAUGCAAGUCGAGCGAACAGACGAGGAGCUUGCUCCUCUGACGUUAGCGGCGGACGGGUGAGUAACACGUGGAUAACCUACCUAUAAGACUGGGAUAACUUCGGGAAACCGGAGCUAAUACCGGAUAAUAUAUUGAACCGCAUGGUUCAAUAGUGAAAGACGGUUUUGCUGUCACUUAUAGAUGGAUCCGCGCCGCAUUAGCUAGUUGGUAAGGUAACGGCUUACCAAGGCAACGAUGCGUAGCCGACCUGAGAGGGUGAUCGGCCACACUGGAACUGAGACACGGUCCAGACUCCUACGGGAGGCAGCAGUAGGGAAUCUUCCGCAAUGGGCGAAAGCCUGACGGAGCAACGCCGCGUGAGUGAUGAAGGUCUUCGGAUCGUAAAACUCUGUUAUUAGGGAAGAACAAAUGUGUAAGUAACUAUGCACGUCUUGAUGGUACCCAAUCAGAAAGCCACGGCUAACUACGUG